GCCUGGGACAGGUUUUCUCUUCGUCUCGCUGGGUGUUAGAAUCAGAAGCUGGACUGUUAGGGUGUAGACCUCUCUGGUCUCAGGGCCAAGUGUAUCUUAAGCUGGGAUGAGGAAGUGGGGGGCGUCUGGCCUGAGGGGCCCUUCUCCCACUUCCAGCUGUCGGUCCUUCCUUGAGGCUGGGGUCUCAGGCCCCCCGAGCCCCUCCCCGGCCUCUCUCAGUCAGGGCACGCGGGGGUCCCCCGAAGCCACCCUCCCCCUUCUCUGUUCAUAACCCCGGCUUCACGGCUUGUCCUGAGGAAAACCGAGAGGCUGUACAUCCUUUUCGACAUCUUCCGUGACCUUGAAGGUGACCUCUCGUGCCUGGAAAGUCGUGCCAAGGAAACUCUAGACACAGUCACUUAGCACCCUGGCGGCGAGGGGACCAACAGCCACUUGCAGAAUUUACAGUUUCCCAGGGGAGAGAGGCUUCAUUCCAGCCAAGGGACACCAACAUCGCGUUAGGCGUGGCCGAGGGGACAGCAGGGGAGCUAUUUGGAGAGAGGGACUUGUCCCAGGCUCUCACCCACUCCUGGCUGAACCUUCCAGGGCUGCCACGUUCAGACACCCCUUGAGAAUGGCCCCCAGUUCCCACCUCCCACACCUGGAGGGAGAGGCCCUUCUGCUGAGACCCGAACCCCUGCCCCUGCAGGAACCAGUGAGCUCCGGGUGGACCUCGUGGACUUCGAGGGCAACCACCAGUUUGCCAAGUACAGGUCCUUCCAGGUGGCAGGCGAGGCAGAGAAGUACAAGCUGGUCCUGGGAGGCUUCCUGGAGGGCAAUGCAGAGACCAGUUCUUCUCCACCAAAGACCAGGACAACGACAACCAUUCGGGAAACUGCGCGGAGCAGUACCACGGCGCCUGGUGGUACAACGCCUGCCACUCCUCCAACCUGAACGGCCGCUACCUCCGGGGACUGCACACCAGCUAUGCCAACGGCGUCAACUGGAGGUCGGGGAGAGGGUACAACUACAGCUACCAGGUGUCGGAGAUGAAAGUGCGUCUCACGUAGGGGGGGCCCGGCCCGGCUCCUCCCCAUCCACCGGCCGGCAGCCUCCAGAAGCUUCGCUCCGUCCUGCCAGCAUCUCGUCAUCCCUGCCACCCCCUCACUCCCACUCCAUAAACCUGCCUUGCCCAGACCCUUCUCUCCCAUCAGUGUCUGAACGCAUGUGCCCCACGGCCUCACAGAGGAAGAAUCACGUUUCAAAAGUGUUUGCUUCCUGCUUUUUCCUCCCAGUCUGCGUCCUGGAGCACCAGCUGUUUUCAGCAUCUGUAGCCAGUUCUCAGCAGGAGCAUCUACCUGGCAGUGUUAGGGAGCGUUAGGGCGUCCCUUUAGCAGGUGACAUCACUGACAUCCCCGGAGGGCACGUUCCGCCAUCAUCAGCCCCCGGACUUAAGCUCCCGCCGUUAUGGGCACGGUGGCCCCCAGCUCCCCCAGCUCCCCUGCCCCGUCCUCAGUUAGUCUCAGCACCUUUGCACAUGUUUAAGCAGGAUGCUUUGCACCUAGAGAACUCUCGUGAAAAGUGGGAGAGGGGUUCCCGCUGUGGCUCAGUGGUAAUGAGCCUGACCAAGAUCCAUGAGGACACAGGUUCGAUCCGUGGCCUUGCUCAGUGGGUUAAGGAUCGAUCCGUCGUGGCUGUGAGCUGUGGUGUAGGCUGCCAGCUGCAGCUUGGAUUCGACCCUAGCCUGGGAACCUCCAUGUGAUGCGGGUGUGGCCCUAAAAAGACAGAAAAAAAGCAAGUGGGGGAGUUAAACAGGGAGCGUUCUGCUUCCUGUCCAUGCAGUAGGUGCUCUGGGCCAGCUUCCCCAGGGAGCAGCUGAAAUGCCACACCCUGGUCCCCAGGGGAGGGCUGCCUCUGCCCAGGGCGCAGCUGCCGACUGUCACCCACAAAGCCUCGCACGGCACAAGCCUCUGCUCCAGGGCAAUUACAGACCUACCCCUGCAAGACUGGGGAGCCUGGUGGGAGGAAGUAAAGGAGAAUUAUCUCCAUCUCUCCGGUCAGGGAGGGGUUUCUUAACCAGGAUUUCAGGAGCACCAGCCAAAAGGAAAAGAUCCAUCAAUCCAAUAUCACUAAAAUCAAGACCUAAAAAAAAUCAGGAUCUUGGGAGUUCCCGUCGUGGCUCAGUGAUAACAAACCCGACGAGCAUCCAUGAAGACACGGAUUCCACCCCUGGCCUCGCUCAGUGGGUGAAGCGUCCAGCGUUGUGGGAGCUGUGGUGGAGGUCACAGAUGUGGCUCGGACCCCGCAUUGCUGUGGCUGUGGUGUAGACCACUGGCUGCAGCUCCGUUUCAACCCCUAGCCUGGGAACUUCCAUAGGCUGU
rnacentral:lncRNA from 1 species